AUUGCAUCCAAUAUUAGUUACCCUCAAGCGAUAGGACGAUGAAUAAUCUCAAGUGCCUAAAUUUUUGAGAUCUGCCAUAUUUCAAUCUCAAUUUCUUAGAAUCCCCUCUGAUUUCAAUACCUUGUAAGUUUUUGACCUCAUUUUUCAUUUAGAGAAUUUUAUGCAGUGUACAGUGGAUCCAUAGUGUCCAGAUUAAGGAUUUUCUCCUUUUAGGCUUAGGUCGGGUCGUUGGGACUUGACCCUCGCUAGAUUCAGAAGGAUCGAGGGUCAGGUAGUUUUAAAAUAGGGCACGCGUAUUCACAUGCCCACUUAUCUUUUGGAUGAGAUGUUGGUUCUUGGGUGUCAGGAUAAACACCCAUGAACCUACAAACGUUUCAGAGAUACCUCUGAAAAUCACUUUUCGAUCAGUUCAUUUGUUUAAGUCACCAAUGAAUUAUGUUGAUUGGACGACCUAGUUAUCCUUAUGGCCUUAGUGACCUAUUCGGUGGUAUCUAUUUGUAUCCACCGUAUUCAUUUAGAACUUACCUCCCAUUUUUGUAUCAAAUGUCCGUUGGAGAUGGUGAUUAGUGAGGAGGUUAGCUACCAAUCGUUGACAACCUGCUCCGUCUUUUAAAUGACGAAGAGUCACUACCAAAACCUGCCUUGCCUACUCUGCAAGUGAAGCUAGAGUGCCGUCAGGAGGAGUGGCAUCACCAAUAAUGCGAGUCGACCGAGCAAGCAUUCCAUUAUCAUCUUAUUCACAACCUGGAGGAAAGAAAAAGACAAUUACUGCCAAUGAGUUGGACACGCGAUGUGGAGGUUGAUUAGAUACAGCAAGACAAUGCACCACCUUGGGGUCCAUCUGAGUUGCAAGAACAAGUUCAUUUAGCGAUUCUUUUGCUCCAUACAUCAUUUAUGGUGCAUCAAAAAUGUUGCUAGAGUUGCCGAAAAAAAGCAAAAGAGACCAGUAGCUGAGGCAUCUAGCGUUGUUGAGGCCCAAGAUAACGAAACGUCUUCAGGCUCUCUUGACUUGACCUAGGUAUAGAGACAAAUUGUCGACCUGGUUGUGGCUUCCGAGGUAAAAAUACAUGCCAGCGGAAGGAUGCAGAAGAGACAUGGAUGGUACCACAGGCCGCAUGUGAGGCAGGAAAGCCUAAAGUCCCAAACUUCUAGAGGUUGGGGCCCUCUUGUCGCUGAAUGAUUAUUUCAUUCAGGUCUUGAAUUACUGUAGGAUCUUAGUAUUUCAGGUGGUCCCAAAUAGCUACUGCAUACUCACAGGUAUCCAAGUAUUGUACAAGUCGCUCAACUGGCCUUCACCAACCCUUGAAGAGAUCAACUAUUUUUACGACUUGGAGCCUAACCCUGCAGGUUGUGAUUGAGGUUUCUACCAUCUGUGAACUCAAUGAGGCAUCGAGAACUUGAUGAUUAGUAGGGUGUCCAACUCCAGCAGUUACCUUCGCUAGUAUUUUAUGGUGCAAGGAUUCACAACAAAGAAAAAGGCCUUUAGGCCCUUCAAGUGACCUCAUACUUAACUAGAGUAUGAAGAACACCUAUGGCUUAUCAAGAAGUUUGAUGUACCACUUGGCACGACCCACCUUUUUGCUGACCAACGAGAAUAUGGUGGCUUAUGACAUCUUCAAUAAGGAUCAAUCCUUUAAUUGCAAGUCAGCCCCGCCAUUGACUAGUCAGGUGUAAGUGACAAUCCCCCUUCGCUAGGUUAGGAUUGAGUAUACCAAGGAAGGGGCACCCAUACGCGAGGCUGAAGCAUUUGCUAGCGAGGUCUCCUCGCGUUUUAGAUAAUUGGACUCGUUUGAAGUCAGAGAGGCUGAGGUUGUGGAGAUAUCUCAUUCCUGAGCCUCAAGGGGUUAUUUACGAGGCGAGGUCCAUCUCGAUCCCCAUGUCCGCUCUUUCUUGCAUGAGUCAAGGUCACAUUGCGGAAGAUGCGAGGACGAAACCAAGGUUAAUUCUCAUGAUUUUGGCUUCAUUGGUCAACCAAUUUUUGUGCUUGAGCAUUUACCCUUGCCUGAACCUCCUCAUUUUUCUUCACACCUUUUUUCCUUCAUUUACAUGGAUGAUGUUAUGAAUUCGGGAUCAUUUCAACUAGAAGUGCCUAACGAUCCCAGGGCCCUAAACAUAAUUGACCAAAGAUCAAUGGUUGAAAAAAUUAAUGUGGAUGGCCUUUUCACUCAACCUACCCUCGCCAUCAAGAAGAAGAAGAAGAAGAAGAAGAAGA